GACGAACGCUGGCGGCGUGCUUAACACAUGCAAGUCGAACGGAAAGGCCCUGCUUUUGUGGGGUGCUCGAGUGGCGAACGGGUGAGUAACACGUGAGUAACCUGCCCUUGACUUUGGGAUAACUUCAGGAAACUGGGGCUAAUACCGGAUAGGAGCUCCUGCUGCAUGGUGGGGGUUGGAAAGUUUCGGCGGUUGGGGAUGGACUCGCGGCUUAUCAGCUUGUUGGUGGGGUAGUGGCUUACCAAGGCUUUGACGGGUAGCCGGCCUGAGAGGGUGGACGGCCACAUUGGGACUGAGAUACGGCGCAGACUCCUACGGGAGGCAGCAGUGGGGAAUAUUGCACAAUGGGCGGAAGCCUGAUGCAGCAACGCCGCGUGCGGGAUGACGGCCUUCGGGUUGUGAACCGCUUUCGCCUGUGACGAAGCGUGAGUGACGGUAAUGGGUAAAGAAGCACCGGCUAACUACGUG
rnacentral:rRNA from 1 species